rnacentral:rRNA from 1 species
GACGAACGCUGGCGGCGUGCCUAAUACAUGCAAGUUGAGCGCUGAAGGUUGGUCCUUGUACCAACUGGAUGAGCAGCGAACGGGUGAGUAACACGUGGGGAAUCUGCCUUUGAGCGGGGGACAACAUUUGGAAACGAAUGCUAAUACCGCAUAAAAACUUUAAACACAAGUUUUAAGUUUGAAAGAUGCAAUUGCAUCACUCAAAGAUGAUCCCGCGUUGUAUUAGCUAGUUGGUGAGGUAAAGGCUCACCAAGGCGAUGAUACAUAGCCGACCUGAGAGGGUGAUCGGCCACAUUGGGACUGAGACACGGCCCAAACUCCUACGGGAGGCAGCAGUAGGGAAUCUUCGGCAAUGGACGAAAGUCUGACCGAGCAACGCCGCGUGAGUGAAGAAGGUUUUCGGAUCGUAAAACUCUGUUGGUAGAGAAGAACGUUGGUGAGAGUGGAAAGCUCAUCAAGUGACGGUAACUACCCAGAAAGGGACGGCUAACUACGUG